ACUCCUACGGGAGGCAGCAGUGGGGAAUAUUGCACAAUGGGCGCAAGCCUGAUGCAGCCAUGCCGCGUGUAUGAAGAAGGCCUUCGGGUUGUAAAGUACUUUCAGCGGGGAGGAAGGCGAUAAGGUUAAUAACCUUGUCGAUUGACGUUACCCGCAGAAGAAGCACCGGCUAACUCCGUGCCAGCAGCCGCGGUAAUACGGAGGGUGCAAGCGUUAAUCGGAAUUACUGGGCGUAAAGCGCACGCAGGCGGUCUGUCAAGUCGGAUGUGAAAUCCCCGGGCUCAACCUGGGAACUGCAUUCGAAACUGGCAGGCUAGAGUCUUGUAGAGGGGGGUAGAAUUCCAGGUGUAGCGGUGAAAUGCGUAGAGAUCUGGAGGAAUACCGGUGGCGAAGGCGGCCCCCUGGACAAAGACUGACGCUCAGGUGCGAAAGCGUGGGGAGCAAACAGGAUUAGAAACCCCAGUAGUCCCAUG
rnacentral:rRNA from 1 species